AUCCCUUGAUCAUUUAACGAGUAGUUAUCCAAAGUAGAAUUGCCGGACUUUUGUUUUCCUCCCCUUUGUAAGAAGCACGUCAUUACAACCCAUGCAUUUCAUUCGUCAAGCGGCAAUCCUCGAAAGAAAAUCAGUGCAUAAUUUGUUACUGAUAACGCGAGACGAAGAGUAGAGCUAAUUAAUUUCAAUUCUCUGGCGUCUAAGUGUAAUAUUUAUUUCUUAUAACAUUUGCGCCUCUUGCACGUCGACGAGAAGUGUGGGCGAAAAGUGUUCGAAGCCUGGUCAACUUGGCGUAUAACCGACAGGAAGUGUUUUGCGAGUGGAAAUGACUUGGGGGAUGGGUCACUGACAAAUCCAGAAUUUGAUGACAGUCAACACGAAGUGAGAUGAUCUGACGCCUGUUUCUGUCUGGUUAUUGUAUACAGUUUGAAAUCUCAACACAACACGGAGACUGUCGUGUCAGUUUCAGCCCCCAGAUCCGUCCUGACAUGUUACAGACGACCAGCACCCACCUGUGUGCCACCCUGCUGAUCCUCGUCGUAUCCACACACUGUUUCAGUAUUCGCGUGAGAGUUCCGGCGAUUAAGCGUUCCACCAUGGACCUGGCCAUCAUCCAGAUAUACAAUCUCUGUGACUCAGACUACAGCGGCCACUUCAACGACAAUGAGUUCCAAUGCGUCAAGCACCUCGUCAGCCUCUUCUUCGGCGGAGGCUGACGUCAGAUGAACAGACCCUACAGCAGUGGUCAGUCGGUACCCGCAUGGUGUUGAAUCGUAUGGUUUCUUCUCUGCUGUUAGUCUGGGUCUUUUUAUUUAAACAAAUGAAAC